rnacentral:rRNA from 2 species
UUAUUUGAGAGUUUGAUCCUGGCUCAGGAUGAACGCUGGCGGCGUGCCUAACACAUGCAAGUUGAGCGAUUUACUUCGGUAAAGAGCGGCGGACGGGUGAGUAACGCGUGGGUAACCUACCCUGUACACACGGAUAACAUACCGAAAGGUAUGCUAAUACGGGAUAAUAUAUUUGAGAGGCAUCUCUU